UUCCGGUUGAUCCCGCCGGACCUGACUGCUAUCGGAUUGAUACUAAGCCAUGCGAGUCUUUGCAGUAAUGCAAGGCAUACGGCUCAGUAACACGUAGUCAACUUACCCUAUGGACGAGGAUAAUCUCGGGAAACUGAGCAUAAUACUCGAUAGAUCAUAAUGCCUGGAAUGGUUUAUGGUUGAAACGAUUCGUCGCCAUAGGAUAGGACCGCGGCCUAUCAGCUUGUUGGUGAGGUAAUGGCCCACCAAGGCGAUUACAGGUACGGGCUCUGAGAGGAGAAGCCCGGAGAUGGGUACUGAGACAAGGACCCAGGCCCUAUGGGGCGCAGCAGGCGAGAAAACUUUGCAAUGUGCGAAAGCACGACAAGGUUAAUCCGAGUGAUUUCUGCUAAAGAAAUCUUUUGCAAGUCAUAAAACCACUAGUGAAUAAGGGGUGGGCAAGUUCUGGUGUCAGCCGCCGCGGUAAAACCAGCACCUCAAGUGGUCAGGAGGAUUAUUGGGCCUAAAGCAUCCGUAGCCGGCUCUGUAAGUUUUCGGUUAAAUCCAUGUGCUCAACGCAUGGGCUGUCGAAAAUACUGCAUAGCUAGGGAGUGGGAGAGGUAGACGGUACUCGGUAGGAAGGGGUAAAAUCCUUUGAUCUAUCGAUGACCACCUGUGGCGAAGGCGGUCUACCAGAACACGUUCGACGGUGAGGGAUGAAAGCUGGGGGAGCAAACCGGAUUAGAUACCCGGGUAGUCCCAGCUGUAAACGAUGCAGACUCGAUGAUGCAUUGGCAUAUAGCCAGUGCAGUGUCGCAGGGAAGCCGUUAAGUCUGCCGCCUGGGAAGUACGUACGCAAGUAUGAAACUUAAAGGAAUUGGCGGGGGAGCACCACAAGGGGUGAAGCCUGCGGUUCAAUUGGAUUCAACGCCGGG
rnacentral:rRNA from 1 species